rnacentral:rRNA from 1 species
GCUGGCGGCGUGCUUAACACAUGCAAGUCGAACGGAAAGGCCCUGCUUUUGUGGGGUGCUCGAGUGGCGAACGGGUGAGUAACACGUGAGUAACCUGCCCUUGACUUUGGGAUAACUUCAGGAAACUGGGGCUAAUACCGGAUAGGAGCUCCUGCUGCAUGGUGGGGGUUGGAAAGUUUCGGCGGUUGGGGAUGGACUCGCGGCUUAUCAGCUUGUUGGUGGGGUAGUGGCUUACCAAGGCUUUGACGGGUAGCCGGCCUGAGAGGGUGACCGGCCACAUUGGGACUGAGAUACGGCCCAGACUCCUACGGGAGGCAGCAGUGGGGAAUAUUGCACAAUGGGCGGAAGCCUGAUGCAGCAACGCCGCGUGCGGGAUGACGGUCUUCGGGUUGUAAACCGCUUUCGCCUGUGACGAAGCGUGAGUGACGGUAAUGGGUAAAGAAGCACCGGCUAACUACGUGCCAGCAGCCGCGGUGAUACGUAGGGUGCGAGCGUUGUCCGGAUUUAUUGGGCGUAAAGGGCUCGUAGGUGGUUGAUCGCGUCGGAAGUGUAAUCUUGGGGCUUAACCCUGAGCGUGCUUUCGAUACGGGUUGACUUGAGGAAGGUAGGGGAGAAUGGAAUUCCUGGUGGAGCGGUGGAAUGCGCAGAUAUCAGGAGGAACACCAGUGGCGAAGGCGGUUCUCUGGGCCUUUCCUGACGCUGAGGAGCGAAAGCGUGGGGAGCGAACAGGCUUAGAUACCCUGGUAGUCCACGCUGUAAACGGUGGGUACUAGGUGUGGGGUCCAUUCCACGGGUUCCGUGCCGUAGCUAACGCUUUAAGUACCCCGCCUGGGGAGUACGGCCGCAAGGCUAAAACUCAAAGGAAUUGACGGGGCCCCGCACAAGCGGCGGAGCAUGCGGAUUAAUUCGAUGCAACGCGUAGAACCUUACCUGGGUUUGACAUGGAUCGGGAGUGCUCAGAGAUGGGUGUGCCUCUUUUGGGGUCGGUUCACAGGUGGUGCAUGGCUGUCGUCAGCUCGUGUCGUGAGAUGUUGGGUUAAGUCCCGCAACGAGCGCAACCCUUGUUCACUGUUGCCAGCACGUUAUGGUGGGGACUCAGUGGAGACCGCCGGGGUCAACUCGGAGGAAGGUGGGGAUGACGUCAAGUCAUCAUGCCCCUUAUGUCCAGGGCUUCACGCAUGCUACAAUGGCUGGUACAGAGAGUGGCGAGCCUGUGAGGGUGAGCGAAUCUCGGAAAGCCGGUCUCAGUUCGGAUUGGGGUCUGCAACUCGACCUCAUGAAGUCGGAGUCGCUAGUAAUCGCAGAUCAGCAACGCUGCGGUGAAUACGUUCCCGGGGCUUGUACACACCGCCCGUCAAGUCAUGAAAGUUGGUAACACCCGAAGCCGGUGGCCUAACCGUUGUGGGGGAGCCGUCGAAGGUGGGACUGGUGAUUAGG